rnacentral:rRNA from 1 species
AGAGUGAACGCUGGCGGCAGGCCUAAUACAUGCAAGUCGAACGGCAGCACAGCAGAGCUUGCUCUGUGGGUGGCGAGUGGCGGACGGGUGAGGAAUACAUGGGAAUCUGCCCAGUCGUGGGGGAUAACGUAUGGAAACGUACGCUAAUACCGCAUGCGCCCUUCGGGGGAAAGCCGGGGACCUUCGGGCCUGGCGCGAUUGGAUGAGCCCAUGUCGGAUUAGCUAGUUGGCGGGUAAAGGCCCACCAAGGCGACGAUCCGUAGCUGGUCUGAGAGGAUGAUCAGCCACACUGGAACUGAGACACGGUCCAGACUCCUACGGGAGCAGCAGUAGGAAUAUUGGACAAUGGGACGCAAGCCUGAUCCAGCCAUGCCGCGUGUGUGAAGAAGGCCUUGGUUGUAAAGUCACUUUUGUACCGGUAAAGAAAAGACACUGGUAGAAUACCUGUGUCGUGACGGUACCGAAGAAUAAG